rnacentral:lncRNA from 1 species
UAAUUGGUGUUCAAUUUAGUCUUUUUUAUAAACUCCGCUUAAAUAGUUAACGACAAGAUGUCCAAAUGUGCAAUUAGAGAGUGAACUGUCAUGUAUGCUCUGACGUGGACUAGAUCAGUUAUCACCAUAGGGACCACAUUUGGAAAUAAUUAACAAAAAGGGGGACUAGAUUGAACAACUUUCAUUCAUUAAUAAACAAAGAGGCACAUCACCAUCUUCUUCAACCUUCAACCCAACCAAAAAUCGAAACCCUACUUUCUUUCUAGCCACCUAACUUUAGUGUCGUCACACCUAAACCCUCAGGCCGCCACCGCAAUUAUAGCCCCAGAGACUCCAAAACUUUCAUACAAAGUGACCAAAAUCACAUUCACACACCCUUUUUUAUCAAAACCCUGUCAACAGUUUCAAUCACAGCAUCAACAACUCUAACUUUACAAUUGAAGAGAACCAACAAGGAAAAAGAGGAAACUUGGACAUUGUUCACGGACUUGGGUUAGUAAAAACUUUAACUUGUUGGGAGAAAUAAAGAAGAACCCAUUAAUUGCAACAAGAAGAAGAAGAAUGAGAAGCAAACAUGGCUCAUUAACCAACAAGGCUGGGAAGAAGAUUGGGAAGAUGAUUGCUUAACCU